rnacentral:lncRNA from 1 species
GGACAGGUCUGCUCGUCUGCUUCUGGUGCGCAGUGCCCACGGCAGUGCCCACGGGGCUGCAGAUGGGUGUGUUGUGUCCCCUUCUGGUACCAUGCUCCCGCAGGGGUUUCAGGGUCUAUGCGCAGUUGUCUGGGGCUUCUGAAGCUCAGUGUCCUGUCUCAUGGAGGGUCAGCCUGAUGAUUCUGCCCCUGGUCCCACAGAGCUUGCCCGGGAGCCUCUCCUGUGUGCACAGAGCACGGCCUUGGAGUUGGAGACAGAGGUGCCGGCUGGAGACUUGGGUUUGGAAACCGCACACAGGGCUCAGCUUGUGCUUCUUCCAGUGGAGCUCAAGGAAGAAAUUGAUCUCUUAAAAGUAGAAAAUAGAAAUUUGCAGGAGAAGUUGCAGCGUGAAAUCUGCCUGAAAGAGGACUUGGAGAAAGUGAAACAGAAUUUAGUUGAAGCUCACCAGGAAGAACUGAAGAGUGCUGAAGAGAGGAUUGAGCAAAUGAAACAGGAACUCAGGGAGAGAGAGGCUGAGUGGAAAGUUACAAGUGAGGACCUGCGGAGAGGGGCUGAAGAGAGGCUGACGAAGAUGCUCCUUGACCUGCGAGAACAGGUGGAGUCUGAGAAGCGGUCCAUGAUGAACAGGUUUGAGCUUCGAGAAUCCGAAAUGAGGCAACUUCAAGACCAGCAGGCAGCUCAGAUCCUGGACCUGGAGGGGUCACUAGUGGAACAACAGGGCCGCCUUCGGCAGCUGGAGCUCGGACUCCCUGGAGAUGAGUCUCUGCGGUGCAGCCAGUGUGGCCGGGAGCUGGGCUGCGGCCCAGCCCCAGGGGCCCAGGACCAGGAGCUCGCCAUGCUCCACCUAAAGGAGGACUGCGCCCUCCAGCUGAAGGUGGCCCAGAGCAGGUUUUUGGAGGAACGUAGAGCAAUCACAGAGAAACUGGCCGCAGAGCAAGAUGCCUUCCUGCAGGAGGCCCAGAAGCAGCAUGCGCACGAGCUGCAGCUCCUCCAGGAGGGGCACCAGCGGCAUAUCCUGUCCCUGACCACGGAGCUGGAGACCAGGCGCCAGGCCGAGGUGGAUGCGCUGAGGUCUUCGUUCGAGCGUGAGCGGUGGGCCCUGGCAGAGGCGCGUGAGGCUGAGUCGCAGGUGAAACACGCUGCUGAAGUCAGUGUGUUGGAGGCCAGACACGCGUCACACCUGGAUGCUCUGCGCUUGCAGUACCUGUCUGAGUUGCAGGCCGUGCAGGGCAGGCAUCGGCGGGCCCUGGAGCUGCUGCGGCUGGACCUGGAGGAGCGGCUGCAGAAGGAGGAUGUGGCUCACCACGGGGUCUUGACCCAGGUGCUGGAGCUGCUGGAGCUGCGAUGUGCCGAAGAGCCUCAGUCCGCAGAGGACAGCCUGAGAGGGGAUGGGAGCGUGGAGCCCCCAGAGGGUGUGAGAGCCCUCUGGCUGCACGGGGCUCGCAAGGUGAGGUGUGUGGAUGGGGCGGGGACAGGGACUUUGCCCUUCCCUAGGACCUGCUCAUGUCAGCUGCACGCAUGUCUGGUGCCCCUGCCCUCUGCCCCCCACCAGCCAUGGGUUUCCUGGUGAGGCAGGUACAGAACAGUGGGUUUUACGGCACUUUUUGGUCGCAGCUCCUUGGUGAAGGCUUUUGGCAGCCGGUGUCCAGGUGUGGCCUUUCCUGUGAGCUUGCAGUGGGUUCACUGUGCUCCUUGGGGCUUGUGUUGUUUCUGUGAGGUAGAGCGCUUUGUCCUGUGUCUGGGGCGGUCUGUGUCGGGCAGCGAUUGUCCCCGUGGUGGGUGCUCUCUGGAGGUGGCCCCGUGGCCCUGCCAGCACCAGGCUUGCCUUGUCUGCAGGCCCCUGGCCCCAUGCGUUGUGAGCAGGACAUAUUGGUUAGAAGUUGAAGUCAGCGUGGGGGCACAUUGCUCUGCACUGACUUGGCAGAUGUGCAUGCCCGGCCCUCAGAAACAGUCCUGUUCUGUGGCUUCGUGCUUUGUCACGUCACAAGUAGGUACUCCAGGUCACAAAGCAGGAAACCUCAGCCUUGUGGAAACACAGAUACCAGGAGAACCUUCGUUUCCGACUGAGACGUGCUUUGUGUAUGAGUGGAUGUUCCCAGGAGGGUUUCGUCCUCUGGUCUGGUUCAGCUUGUCUAAGGAUGGGAGGAAAAGGGCAACCCAACCUGCGGAGGCGGUGGGGCUUCACUUCACACGUUGGCUCUGCCUGUCCUGUGUGGUCUGUGGGCGAGACCGUGAGUGAGUUCCGGGAGGGCUGGGCAGGCUCCCGUGAGGUCGUGAGCCUCUGGGUGGUCCCUGGGUGUGGCCCAGGGCAGGUGUCCCUGGGUUGAGGUGCCCCCAGGCUGGUCUGCUUCUGAGCCGUCAGCUGUUAGCUUCCAUUCCUCCCAGGCAGAAGGGUGCUUGGGGAAGGGGCUUUGUCCCAACCCGUGGAUUUAAACUGGAUUCCCUCGGUUUAUAGGGUUUGAAGAAAAUGGAGUUUUGAAAGAACAUUGAGAGGGAGAAGUGUGUGUCUCUUACACGGGAAAACCGUGUGUUUUAAACCGUGCCUUCAUCUCAUUAGUGUAAAAUGCGCACGUAGGUGGCGUGAGGGGUGCGGGUGCGUGGGGCAGAGGAGGCAUGCGGGGUGCAGUGAUGUGGCCCCUGGAGGAGGGCAGGGCACAUGCCAGGGUCCUGCCCCCUGGGCAGCAGCACCACGCAGCCUGUCAGGGUCUCAGGGACGGUCACGUGACUAUGAUGCAGAGACAGGAGGCCCCGCAGGGGGUGCCCCUCGCAGAGGGGUGGCUGUGGGUGGGCAGUGCGCCUCCUUCUGGGCAGUGGUGGCUUCAGGAAUGACCUAGGGCUCAGACUCUGGCCCCCACAGGGGUGCUGGUGGCAUCAACAGAGCCGCUGGGUCUCCAGAAGCUUCUCUCCAUCACAGUGCCGAGGGUGUUUCAUGAAGUCUGUGUGGAGUGGGUGCUGGGCGGGCCUCGCACCUGCUGAGAGGCUUAUUUACUGGCUGACGACCCUUCCCUCCAGGAAACUUUGUGGGCUCCUGUUCAUUCAUCCUGCUCGUUCUAUUGCCUGUUGGUGACACACGUGUCAUGCGUGCUCCUUGGCUCAGCGCUUUUGUACUUGUGUGUUGACUCUUGUUCAAGCAUUGAGAGCAUUUGGGGAAUAUUUCUCUAGUUGUGUGUUGAAGUACAUCAUUCCUUUGUUAGGAAGGAUAUGUAAGCAUUAGAUACUGUCUAAGUGACCUUUUUGUCUCGCUCAUUUCACAGGAGGAAACAGCUGGGUGCCAUGGGCUUUGUGGGGAGGUGAGAUAUGCCAUUUCUUCCCAUUUUAACUUUGCUUUGGAGAAAAUUUCAACAGACACAGAGAAUAGUUCAGGACGGGACUGCCCAUGGGGUACGUGCCAGUCUCAGUGCAGCAAGCCGCCCAAGUAAACUAGAAGCAUGCUCCACGCUGCCCUACAGAGUUAAUAGUGAUCUCUUAAUGUCAUCACAGAUCCAGCCUGAGACCCAGUUUCUUUCUGUGGUAGGUCAAGUUGGGAUACACGCAGGGGUGGGAGAACAGUUCCAGUCCAGAUCUACACACGGGCCAGGAGAAUAGAUCAUGCUCAUGUCUACACACGGGCCAGGAGAAUAGUUCAUGCCCACGUCUACACACAGGCCAGGAGAAUAGUUAAUGCCCAUGUCUAUCCCUGGGCCAGGAAAAUGGUUUAUGCCCACGUCUACCCCUGGGCCAGGAGAAUAGAUCAUGCCCAUGUCUGCACACGGGCCAGGAGAAUAGUUCGUGCCCACGUCUACACCUGGGCCAGGAAAAUGGUUUAGGUCCAUGUCUGCACGCAGGACAAGAGAAUAGUUCAUGCCCACGUCUACACCUGGGCCAGGAAAAUGGUUUAGGUCCAUGUCUGCACACAGGACAAGGGAAUAGUUCAUGCCCAUGUCUACAUAUGGGACAGGAGAAUAGUUCAGGUCCACGUCUACACCUGGGCUGGGAGAAUGGUUCAGUUUCGUGCCUACACAUGGGACAGGAAAAUAGUUCAGGUCCAUGCCUACACCAGGGCAGGAGAAUAGUUCAGGUCCACAUCUACACACGGGCCGGAAGAAUAGUUCAGGUUCAUGCCUGUAACCGGGACAGAAUAGUCAAUGUCUACCCAUGGGCUGGGAGAAUAGUUCAGGUUCGUGUCUACACCCAGGACAGGAGAAUAGUCCGUCUACACAUGUGCUGGGAGAAUAGUUCAGGUCCACGUCUACCCAUGGGCUGGGAGAAUAGUUGAGGUUCGUGUCUACACCCAGGACAGGAGAAUAGCCCAUGUCAGUUCCUGGGCCGGGAGGAUAUUUUCAGGCAGUAUUUGCCACCUUCUGCCCUCUUCCCUCAGGCUUUCCUUGCAGACAGAUAUUCCAUGAAGCCUUGCUGGGCGUCUCCUGGGUGCCAUGGUCAUUGUUCCCAAAAUAGCAGGGACGCGCUGUUCUUCCUCUGUGAACAGGUUUUUAUCUGGGCCACAAAUAUCUCGCACCUGUUUGAGAAGCAGUGUCACUCAUCAAAAGAGUUGUUUACCCAGGGCCUGUGAGAUUGGGUUACUUUGCAGGUUACUUCGCUCUGGAGUUUGGUUGUGAGAAUAGUUCUCUGAACACGUAAGCCUGAUUUCCUGUUUUAGAGAUAAGUGUCCCAUGUAGAAGUGGCCCUUACGUUGGGGGCACGGAGCAGGGAAGGGAAGCGGGAGUCAGCUGUCGUGUGCUCACUGUUGGUUGUGCAGGCAGUCUUGCUCUUUCUGGCAAAGCAAAAGCUCUGUUCAUAGCAUUUUUUAAAAUCGUAAGAGACCUGUGGUUGUUUUCAAUAUAGUUUGAAUGUCUUCAAUUAUCAGUUGAAUUUGUUUUUAAUACUGCGUUUGUGUUCUUUGGAUAAUACUGCUUAUUUUUUUCUGUAGGUGUAUCCAUUUUUUGAUGAUUAAAAUAUAUAUCACAUUUCCCAUAGAAUUCUGUGGAUUUUUAGAAAAACCUGGAAAUAGUUUCUUAAAAACUUCUAUUGACUUUACCAUUUAGCGCAUGGCAGAUUGAACAGAAUUCGAUCUGUAAAGCAGAGUUUACUCAGGCAGCAUGGGGAACAGUGGUGUGUAGGGAGGUCCUGUGCAUCAUCACAGUGAAAACACGUGGAUGAAGUGUGAGCUGCACCUGCCACAUAUCCACGUACGUGCUCAUGGCUCAGGUUGACCUUCCUUCCCACUCAGCAGGAACCCGAGGCCCAGUGCUCAGCUCCCCAGGCGGGGCGGGAGGAGGAGCUGGAGCUGCUGGAGUGUAAGCCAGAAGCCUCCCUGGAGCAGCAGGUCACACCGUUACAGGUACUGGGUUAGGAGCCACAGUUCCGUUUUAUUGUUAUCUUUCCUCAUCUGCAAAGAAUAUUUUAGUCUAAAUUAAUUUUGGUAUGCAGAAU